rnacentral:lncRNA from 1 species
ACACGCUUGCAACAGAGGAUUUCACGAUGAGUAGAUUUUGGUCUUUCUAAAAGGAAAAUGCAUCCAUGGAUGUAUUUGUCUCCUGGCUGUGGUUUCUGAAGUCAUAUUAAAUUACACUGAAAGCGCUCUUCUCAUUGUCACCGCUCUUUGACUAUUUAGUUGGAUAUUUAAAAAGAUGAUAAGUGGGUGAAGGCCGAAUGAAUGGCUAUCCCUGCCUUGGGGGAGAUGUUCUCACGGGGGAGGAAAUGACUGCUGGGCAAAGCAGGGCGGUCAUUUCUAGGCAGCUGGAUGGAUAGAAUUCUCUCUCCUGCUGUUCUACUGUCUCCAAGUGUAGCAUUAGCUUUGCCAAAGGAAUGAUUUUUUUUAAUCUCUUGCAAACAAUUCCAUGGCUUUAUUUUAACCGUGAGCCUCAGGAAACCAGGGCCCCAUACGAUGCUCUCUUGGCAUUGAGUUGUGUCUGAGGGCCUCUAAGGCUGGGUCUGGGGUGGCUUGGCAAAACGGUGACGACAGACAGCAGGGCAGGAGCCCUGAAGGACCAAACCACUAGGGAUUCUUCUUUGAGAAUCUUAAGACUAGAAUUUGCAUGGAUCUAGACCAUCAGUCAAUGUAACUCUUUGUUUGAAAGCCUUGCUACUGUUAGCAAAGGAAACAUUUUAAGUAGUGAUGUACUUCAUUUUCUUUUGUUCUCUUAUUUGAAUAGUUUUGUUUCUCUUUGUUGCAGAUUUUUCCUAUCAUCUGUCUGUCUCUAUCAUCUAUCUAUCUGUCUAUCUAUCUAUCUAUCUAUCUAUCUAUCUAUCUAUCUAUCUAUCAUCUUUCUAUCUCAUCUAUCAUUUUCUCUAUCAGCCUACUUCCUUAAUUAUUUAGAUGCAUCUUAUCAUUUAGUUUUGGAGAUUUCAGUGUGGGGGGUGGGUGGCAUUCCGAGCAUACUGCUGAGAAGUUUGAGUAGGUAGCAAAAGUAGGGUUCAGGAAAGGACAGAACAGGCCUGUCGCUAGUUAGGACACUCAGAUUGUCCACAGGAAGCACACUUGCUGGAAAGGAGUGGUCACUUUUGCUGUCUUUUGUGAUGGACAGGGGACAAAUUAAAAUCAAGAGAAGUGGAUGAGGUCAUUUCCCCCUUGCUUGGCUCAAGAUUUCCCUCCAUUCUCAUUGCUGGGAUGUUUCCCCUUGGCUUAUGGCCUUGUUAAUAUCCCUUAGCUGUCUUAUCAAGUUUUUACACCUCUGUGUGAAUUAGUUUAUUGGCCCCUUUUCUUAGAGUCUGGAGAAUGGUAGGGAGAGGAUAGAAAAUAGAGGAAGAGAAAAGAAAGGCAAGCCACUGGGUGUGCUUCAGGUCUACUUUCUGCUUUAAACCUCCUAGCCUGGUACUGCCUGUGGGCUCUGCCUCGGGGCUGCCAGGAGCAAGGCUGCCUGAAUCCUUCAGCAGUUCUCCAAACAGAACCUUCUCUUCCUUAGUAAGAUAUGACAUCUGUUUUAAAUUAGGUCAGUCUUGCAGAUAACCGCGAGACCCGCACCUUCUUUGGAAUAUGUGUGGAAGCCAUAAUGAAAAUGAGGAGAGUAAAUUAUUUCUUGCAUCUUUUAACACAUACUCAAUAUGAUCUUGGUAAAUUCUUCAUCAGGGUCUCUGUGACACCUAAAACAAGAUGGCAUCCAAGCGUCCCUCCUUGUGUGCCCGUCUGUGGUUCAUCAAUGCCUGCAUUUGUCCAUUGAUCAUCACAUCUCUAGGGGUCUGAGAGAAUUUACAAGUCACACUACUGACACAUUACACUGAAAAAUUCCACUUUGAGGGAAGAUACAGAAAAAGAUCUGCUUUUCAUCCAGUAAGUACCCCAACACUUUGAUUGACGGACGAGGUAUCAACUCAACGAGAAAAUUAUGGUUGAUAGAGAUCAUCUCAGGCCCCUGAGUUCCUGCCCCAGGCAUUUUCUAUUACGAUUAGAUUAUGUUUUAUUGAAAUGAGAAUUUGAGAAAGAUAACAUGAGAGCCGUAUUUAAAUCGUAAAUUUCAAUGGGAAAACAUUUACUGAAAACAAGUUCUCUUCUGCGUCUCAUGUGGAGAAGGAUCGUUAUUUAUGUAAUUUCUUCCAUCCUUACAGGACUGCUGCUGCCCCUCAGGAUUCAUUAAACAAGUAAUACAGCCAGUUGUUGAACCUCUGUACAGAAAGUAGAUUACUAUUUGUCUUCUUUGCAGGGACUGCAAAAAUGUACACAUUUCUCCCUUUUUAGUAUUUUUAUAAACAUUAUCUCUUUUUAAAAGAGAGGCUUUUAAAAUUAUACUAGCUUAUUUUAUUGUUUAGACUUACAACAAGCUAAACUUAUAACUAUUUGUCUCUAUCUCUUUGUUUUUCUAUUCCCACACAUAUUUUUGAGAUAGGGUCUCACUAUGUGGCUCUGGCUGGCCUGGAACUCUCUAUGUAGAGCAGUCUGGCCUCAAACUCACGGAGCUCCACCUGCCUCUGCUUCCUGAGCCCAGGGAUUCUCAGGUAUGCACUCCAAUACUCGGCCCGUAUUUUCUUUCAUAUUUUGUAAAAAUGAACUUUAGCC